GCCUUCUGCCAGCUCUUUACCCUCUCCACAUCUCUGGGUGCCCUCAAGGGAGCUUGUGGGCACUUUGGGGCACUCGCAUAUUCUGCAUGGGUAUAGGAGCCUAAGGUCCAUCCCUAGGGCAGGGGAAGGGGAAAUGAUGAGAACUUAGAUCCCUCUUAGGUCUCCCUCUAUUUUUCUUUCCACAGUCCUUCAGGCUAAAAAAGGCAGACUUCAGGCUAUUUCCUGAACAUCAUAUCCUCCUUUUACCCUCAGACAAUAAGACUCAAGGCCUAGCCAUCACAGGCAAAAGAGGUCAUUUGUCUACAGUACAGAAGAACUCUAAGAUCCGGUCCACAGGCUGCUCAUGAUAUGUCAAAGGGAAUAUUUUUUGGAGUCCCUCCAUGAAGUUCAAAACAAGUGCUUCCCAAUUCUUCUCCCCAUCCUUCAGCUCAGAUGGACUAUGCAAUGAAUCUUCAGUUC